GAUGAACGCUGGCGGCGUGCCUAAUACAUGCAAGUCGAGCGAACAGAUAAGGAGCUUGCUCCUUUGACGUUAGCGGCGGACGGGUGAGUAACACGUGGGUAACCUACCUAUAAGACUGGGAUAACUUCGGGAAACCGGAGCUAAUACCGGAUAACAUUUGGAACCGCAUGGUUCUAAAGUGAAAGAUGGUUUUGCUAUCACUUAUAGAUGGACCCGCGCCGUAUUAGCUAGUUGGUAAGGUAACGGCUUACCAAGGCAACGAUACGUAGCCGACCUGAGAGGGUGAUCGGCCACACUGGAGCGGAGACACGGUCCAGACUCCUACGGGAGGCAGCAGUAGGGAAUCUUCCGCAAUGGGCGAAAGCCUGACAGAGCAACGCCGCGUGAGUGAUGAAGGGUUUCGGCUCGUGAAACUCUGUUAUUAGGGAAGAACAAACGUGUAAGUAACUGUGCACGUCUUGACGGUACCUAAUCAGAAAGCCACGGCUAACUACGUG
rnacentral:rRNA from 1 species